AGCCCCGCCGGCCUCCGAGCGUCCGAACUGCCCGCUGCCCGCCCGGCCAGGCACCCCUGCAACAUGGCCUGGAACACCAACCUCCGCUGGCGGCUGCCGCUCACCUGCCUGCUCCUGCAGGUAGCUAUGGUGAUUCUCUUCGGGGUGUUCGUGCGCUACGACUUCGAUGCCGACGCCCACUGGUGGACAGAGAGGAAGCACAAGAACUUGAGCGAGGUGGAGAACGAAUUCUACUAUCGCUACCCGAGCUUCCAGGACGUGCACGUGAUGGUCUUCGUGGGCUUCGGCUUCCUCAUGACCUUUCUGCAGCGCUACGGCUUCAGCGCCGUCGGCUUCAACUUCCUGCUGGCGGCCUUCGGCAUCCAAUGGGCUCUGCUCAUGCAGGGCUGGUUCCACUUCUUAGAAGACCGCUACAUCGUCGUGGGAGUGGAGAAUCUCAUCAAUGCUGACUUCUGCGUGGCCUCUGUCUGCGUGGCCUUUGGGGCAGUUCUGGGUAAAGUCAGCCCCAUUCAACUGCUCAUCAUGACUUUCUUCCAAGUGACCCUCUUUGCUGUGAAUGAGUUCAUUCUCCUUAACCUGCUAAAGGUGAAGGAUGCAGGGGGCUCCAUGACCAUCCACACAUUUGGCGCCUACUUUGGGCUCACAGUGACCCGGAUCCUCUACCGACGCAACCUAGAGCAGAGCAAGGAGAGACAGAGUUCUGCGUACCAGUCGGACCUCUUUGCCAUGAUUGGCACACUCUUCCUUUGGAUGUACUGGCCCAGCUUCAACUCAGCCAUAUCCUACCAUGGGGACAGCCAGCACCGAGCCGCCAUCAACACCUACUGCUCCUUGGCAGCCUGUGUGCUUACCUCGGUGGCAGUAUCCAGUGCCCUGCACAAGAAGGGCAAGCUGGACAUGGUGCACAUCCAGAAUGCCACGCUCGCAGGAGGGGUGGCCGUGGGUACCGCUGCUGAGAUGAUGCUCAUGCCUUACGGCGCCCUCAUCAUCGGCUUCAUCUGUGGCAUCAUCUCGACCCUGGGUUUUGUAUACCUGACCCCAUUCCUGGAGUCCCGGCUGCACAUCCAGGACACAUGUGGCAUUAACAAUCUGCAUGGCAUUCCUGGCAUCAUAGGCGGCAUCGUGGGUGCUGUGACAGCGGCCUCCGCCAGCCUUGAAGUCUAUGGAAAAGAAGGGCUUGUCCAUUCCUUUGACUUUCAAGAUUUCAAGAGGGACUGGACUGCAAGAACACAGGGAAAGUUCCAGAUUUAUGGUCUCUUGGUGACCCUGGCCAUGGCCCUGAUGGGUGGCAUCAUUGUGGGGCUUAUUUUGAGAUUACCAUUCUGGGGACAACCUUCAGAUGAGAACUGCUUUGAGGAUGCAGUCUACUGGGAGAUGCCUGAAGGGAACAGCACUGUCUACAUCCCUGAAGACCCCACCUUCAAGCCCUCAGGACCCUCAGUACCCUCAGUACCCAUGGUGUCCCCACUACCCAUGGCUUCCUCGGUACCCUUGGUACCCUAGGCUCCCAGGGCAGGUGAGGAGCAGAAUGCACCAAGCCCUUGCUCAUGGCUUUCACAUCUAACCUUCCCAAGAUCUCUACAAGGCAGGUAGAAUUACUGCCCUCUUUUUGAUAGAUGAGCAAACUAAGGCUCGGAGAAGUUCUGGUUCUUCAAGAUCACGCAACUAGCAAGUGGAGAAACUGAGGUCCUUGCUGGUCAUUGUUACUGUUCUUAUUAUUGUUAUUUAACUUCCUUGGAGGCCAGAGCUUGGAAAUAGCUGGGUCUGGGACAAGAGGCUGAGCGAUGUGGCAAGAGAGGAUGUUAGGGUGCCAGGAAAGAGAAAGGCUCCACAGACUGUCCCGGGGCUCCAGAGGAGCUGGUGCUGACCUAACUAGGGACACAAAAGCAAGCAAGCAGCACCCCCACCUGCUGGCUUGGCCUCGAGGUGCCUCCAUCCCUUCCCUCCCCUUCAUCCCAGGGGGUCUGCCUGAGAAUGGAGAAGGAGAAGCUACAAACAAAGUGGGCAUCCAAGCCAGGUUCUGACUGCAGAAGUUCUGCCUCUGCCUGGGGUCUUAGCCACACUGGAGAAAAACAGGCUCAGAGUGGCGCUACAGCCUGGGGGUGAACCUGAGCACUCCUAGGAGACAACUUAGCUGCCAGUCACCACCUAUGAGGCUCUUCUACCCACUGCCUGCACAUCAGCCAGCAUCUCCUAUGCUCCCUGGGUCCCCUAGACUUCUCUGUGUUGUGUAGGUGGCAGCCUCCGGGAAUAAACAUUCUUGAUGUCCUUUGUAAAAUGGGUGUGAGUGCUCCAAUGGGGCCAGUUUGAGAGAGAAAAGGACCUAAGAGAUCUGCUUCUGCCCCAGCCCUUACCUUCAUCCAAGGGUACCACCCACACUACAAGGAAAACCAUCCCAGGCUGAGGAAGCAGAACCUGGGUGCUGGAGCUUGCCUUCAGCCUGGGGCACCCAGCAGGGCUCAGCUCUGGGCUGGGGUCUUGCUUCAAGCCCCCUCCAUCAGCUACUCCAGAAACUCAGUCCUUGAGAAAUCUGGCAUCCCUUUUGUGCCCUCCAUGUGGUCCUGCUCUGGGCACUCCAGCAGGACUGGGAGAAGGGAGGGAGGGCUUCUUUGGGCCCAUCUCCUCCUCCCCAUCCCUUCCCUUCUUCCUCUCUGCCAAGCCAGCCUUCUUCUCCCUGGACAGUGCGGGAAGGUUUCAGGAGGGUAGAUCUCCCAGGCUCACCACCACCCUGGGCAGAGUAGUACACACUUCCUGGUCUCAGGGUCUCACAGUCUAGCUGGGGGACAGACCUGACCCUCAGAAUCCAUGCUGAACUCUGACAGGUGUGGCUGGACAGGAAGUCUGUGCCCCGUUGGCUUCUCAAAGCAGGGCCACCUGAUCAGGGUUCUGGAGGCUGAAUAGGAGUUUACCAGAAGGAUGGCAAAGAAGCAGCAUGGGCACAGACCCAUGGGUAGGAAUUAACACGGUGAAGUAUGUUACUGGCUAGAAGAGAGGUGAGGCAAAAGUGUGCCAGUUGGAGAAUAAGACAUGGAAUCCGGAUCUUUUGUGGAGCAAAGGCUCCUGGGAAGAAGGGGUGAGGGAAGAGGGAGGAGGUCUCUCAGCCUCCAACUCCGCCCUCUCCUCUGCCCCCUUGCAAUUCACACACACACACACACACACACACACGGCUGCAUGCCUCUUACUAGUUCAGUGGGGAGGGGAAGGUGGGAUCGAAAUGCAACCUAUUCAUGUUCCCGCGAUGUAACACCGCUCAUUUUCCAUGCUGGGUAAAGACAAAAACCCUUUACAACCUGUUUCUGGAACUUGUCAGCAGCUGCCAAGAGGAGCAUGUUAAUUAAACGUCGGCAAAGAUGGAA